rnacentral:rRNA from 1 species
AGUGAACGCUGGCGGUAGGCCUAACACAUGCAAGUCGAACGGCAGCACAGUAAGAGCUUGCUCUUACGGGUGGCGAGUGGCGGACGGGCGAGGAAUACAUCGGAAUCUACUUUUUCGUGGGGGAUAACGUAGGGAAACUUACGCUAAUACCGCAUACGACCUACGGGUGAAAGCAGGGGAUCUUCGGACCUUGCGCGAUUGAAUGAGCCGAUGUCGGAUUAGCUAGUUGGCGGGGUAAAGGCCCACAAAGGCGACGAUCCGUAGCUGGUCUGAGAGGAUGAUCAGCCACACUGGAACUGAGACACGGUCCAGACUCCUGCGGGAGGCCGCAGUCGGGAAUAUUGGACAAUGGGCGCAAGCCUGAUCCAGCCAUACCGCGUGGGUGAAGAGGGCCUUCGGAUUGUAGAACCCGUUUGUGGGGAAAGAAAAGCAACAGGUUGAUACCCCGCUGUUCUGACGGUACCCAAAGAAUAAGCACCGGCUAACUUCGUG